rnacentral:rRNA from 1 species
CCUACGGGGGGCUGCAGUGAGGAAUAUUGGUCAAUGGACGAGAGUCUGAACCAGCCAAGUAGCGUGAAGGAUGACUGCCCUAUGGGUUGUAAACUUCUUUUAUAUGGGAAUAAAAUGUUCCACGUGUGGGAUUUUGUAUGUACCAUAUGAAUAAGGAUCGGCUAACUCCGUGCCAGCAGCCGCGGUAAUACGGAGGAUCCGAGCGUUAUCCGGAUUUAUUGGGUUUAAAGGGAGCGUAGGUGGAUUGUUAAGUCAGUUGUGAAAGUUUGCGGCUCAACCGUAAAAUUGCAGUUGAAACUGGCAGUCUGGAGUACAGUAGAGGUGGGCGGAAUUCGUGGUGUAGCGGUGAAAGGCGUAGAUAUUAGGAAGAACACCAGUGGCGAAGGCGGAUUACUGGACGACAACUGACGGUGAGGCGCGAAAGCGUGGGGAGCAAACAGGAUUAGAUACCCCUGUAGUC